GUCCCUGUCGUCUAAUGGUUAGGACAUCUCUUUCUCAGAGGAGCAUCGGAGUUCAAUUCUUCGCAGGGGUA